GGAGUGAAGGCAAUCUGGCUGUGACAACUGGCACCUCGUUGAUCACUAAAGCUGACUUGGCAGAUCUGGCUAGUGAGGAGGGUGUUCCCUUGUUCUCUCACUGUUCCAUGUGUGCCCCUCCCUAAGCUGUGCGCUAGAUUGAAGAGAAAAACCACAUCAAAUAGAGGUAAAAUGUUUCCUUAGUCAAGGAUAUAGGAGUAGCUUCCCUACUCUGCAAGAACCUCCAAACAAAACCUGACUACCUUGGCAUCUAGCAGUCCUUCAGGCUUGUUCCUGCAUUUACUUCUUGUAACUUGCUACUUUGGACGCUUAUCAA
rnacentral:snRNA from 1 species